rnacentral:rRNA from 1 species
UACGUAGGGGGCAAGCGUUGUCCGGAUUUAUUGGGCGUAAAGAGCGUGUAGGCGGCCAGGUAGGUCCGUUGUGAAAACUGGAGGCUUAACCUCCAGCUGUCGAUGGAAACCAUCUGGCUAGAGUCCGGAAGAGGAGAGUGGAAUUCCUGGUGUAGCGGUGAAAUGCGCAGAUAUCAUGAGGAAGACCAGUGGCGAAGGCGGGUCUCUGGACAGUUCCUGACACUGAGGCACGAAGGCCAGGUGAGCAAACGGG